rnacentral:rRNA from 1 species
UAGUCAUAUGCUUGUCUCAAAGAUUAAGCCAUGCAUGUCUAAGUAUAAGCAAUUUAUACAGUGAAACUGCGAAUGGCUCAUUAAAUCAGUUAUCGUUUAUUUGAUAGUUCCUUUACUACAUGGUAUAACUGUGGUAAUUCUAGAGCUAAUACAUGCUUAAAAUCUCGACCCUUUGGAAGAGAUGUAUUUAUUAGAUAAAAAAUCAAUGUCUUCGGACUCUUUGAUGAUUCAUAAUAACUUUUCGAAUCGCAUGGCCUUGUGCUGGCGAUGGUUCAUUCAAAUUUCUGCCCUAUCAACUUUCGAUGGUAGGAUAGUGGCCUACCAUGGUUUCAACGGGUAACGGGGAAUAAGGGUUCGAUUCCGGAGAGGGAGCCUGAGAAACGGCUACCACAUCCAAGGAAGGCAGCAGGCGCGCAAAUUACCCAAUCCUAAUUCAGGGAGGUAGUGACAAUAAAUAACGAUACAGGGCCCAUUCGGGUCUUGUAAUUGGAAUGAGAGCAAUGUAAAUACCUUAACGAGGAACAAUU